UGCUCCUGUAUUAGCGGCGGUCGGGUGANUAAUGCGUAGGCAAGACUGCCCGAUAGAGGGGGAUACCANUUGGAAACGACUGUUAAUACCGCAUAAUGUCUACGGACCAAAGUGUGGGACCUUCGGGCCACAUGCUAUCGGAUGCGCCUACGUGGGAUUAGCUAGUUGGUGGGGUAAUGGCUCACCAAGGCGACGAUCCCUAGCUGGUUUGAGAGGAUGAUCANCCACACUGGAACUGAGACACGGUCCAGACUCCUACGGGAGGCAGCAGUGGGGAAUAUUGGACAAUGGGCGCAAGCCUGAUCCAGCCAUGCCGCGUGUGUGAAGAAGGCCUUCNGGUUGUAAAGCACUUUCAGUGGGGAGGAAGGGUGUUGUGUUAAUAGCNCANCANUUUGACGUUNCCCACAGAANAAGCACCGGCUAACUCCGUGCCANCAGCCGCGGUAAUACCGAGGGUGCAAGCNUUNAUCNGAAUUACUGGGCGUAAAGCGCACGCAGGCNGNUUUUUAANUCNGNUGUGAAANCCCCGGNCUNAACCUGGGAAUUGCAUCUGAUACUGGGAANCUAGAGUAUGUGAAAGGGGGGUAGAAUUCCAAGUGUAGCGGUGAAAUGCGUAGAGAUUUGGAGGAAUACCAGUGGCGAAGGCGGCCCCCUGGCACAAUACUGACGCUCAGGUGCGAAAGCGUGGGGAGCAAACAGGAUUAGAUACCCUGGUAGUCCACGCCGUAAACGAUGUCUACUAGCUGUUCGCGGCCUUGUGUUGUGAGUAGCGCAGCUAACGCAUUAAGUAGACCGCCUGGGGAGUACGGUCGCAAGAUUAAAACUCAAAUGAAUUGACGGGGGCCCGCACAAGCGGUGGAGCAUGUGGUUUAAUUCGACGCAACGCGAAGAACCUUACCUACUCUUGACAUCUACAGAAGAACGCAGAGAUGUGUUUGUGCCUUCGGGAACUGUAAGACAGGUGCUGCAUGGCUGUCGUCAGCUCGUGUUGUGAAAUGUUGGGUUAAGUCCCGCAACGAGCGCAACCCUUAUCCUUAGUUGCCAGCGAUUCGGUCGGGAACUCUAGGGAGACUGCCGGUGAUAAACCGGAGGAAGGUGGGGACNACGUCAAGUCAUCAUGGCCCUUACGAGUAGGGCUACACACGUGCUACAAUGGUAUGUACAGAGGGAGGCAAGCUGGCNACAGUGANCGGAUCUCUUAAAGCNUAUCGUANUCCNGAUUGGANUCUGCAACUCNACUCCNUGAA
rnacentral:rRNA from 1 species